ensembl:lncRNA
CACUGCUGCCUCGGAGGACGGCGCGGUGUUUCAGUAGAGUUUCUGAGGGAAAAGCUGAGGGUAACGCUGUCUGAGGGGGACAGUGAACAUUUUGGAAGGAAAAGCUGAGGCAAAGGAUCACCACCCUUGAAGACAAAAUCCAAGAAGUAGCCAAACAACUCUUGAAGUCAUGAGGUGGAAUGAGGAAAUAUUAACCAGUUCAUGUUCACCAGUACCCAAAGCCCCUCCUCAGCAAUGGAAAAGGACAAGAGAUCAUGGGUUAAAAAGUCACAUGCCUCCUCUGUCCCUAUCUGCUACCUGAAGACUCUGUCAGAGCAAGGAGCUUCCCAGCUGGCUUGGAGCACAGGGGGGACCCUGCAAGCAGCUCUUUCCAGCAGCUCUUCUCCUCCGGAACUAGCCACAGGAACCCACACGGUGAGAGUUAACCACCCUGGCCCAACGGUUUCUUCAUAAAUAAGGAUUAUUAAUAAACAGU